AUCUAAAGACAGCGAAAACCCCUAAUGUUAAAUCAUAGAAAUCGCACAGUUUUGCCUGAGGGCUUCUUGCAGUGGAAGAUGACUAAGAUGAUAAACCAAACCAGUUUUUAUAGCGCAUGCGCAUUGAUGCGAUUGUUCUCCCUCCUGCAUCACUCCUCCCCCGUAGUACUAUGCUGAACGUGAGCUGUGAAUUUUGGACUAAAGCUUGACCAUUGAAAGAUAUUUAGCUGUUUGAGGUGAUCAACCAAGAGGAUAAAACUAAAAAAAGCUGAAUUGAGGUUUAGCAGUUUUUGUCUGAUUGGAUGUGAUUGUCAAAGAAGAUGGGAUUAAAGUAAGUAAAAGGUAUUACAAUUUUUUGGUUAUUAUCUAUUGUUUAAUAAUUCUUUUGUUUGCAUUAAUCGAAUGGCUGUUUUGAUGUUUCUAGAAGGUUACGUAAUAUUUUGUGUAUAUUGUAAUAGAAAAGGUCAUUGAAUUUACUAUAUAAAAAAUAUUAUAUUUAAUGUAUAAAAAAUGAUUGUGUGUAUUUACUCAGGUUAGUUGAAAUUAUAUAGAUAUAGUUAGUAAUAAUCAUACGUGGUUUAAAAAGAUCAGCUGCUAGAUGAAUUGUGUGUAGGUAAUCUGUUAUGUUUAUAAAUCAAUUGUGGCAUCAAAAGCUGUGAUCUAAAAGGAAAAUUUGCAGGUGCCAAGUGUUAGAGUUCUAUGUUUGAGAAGAUUCUUCUAAAGUUCUAAGAUUGCUCAGAUUGUGUAAUUACAGCUAACAUAAUUAUAACUGAUAUAUUAUGAGGUGUAGUGUGUUCUCAGAUGAGAGCAAAUAAUAAUUUAUGUAUGUAAAACUGAAAAGAGAAUUGCAUUCAUGUUUCAUUUCUUUUAAGAUAAGAGUUAUGAUUUUCUUACCUUUGUCUUUGAUUUUUUAUAAGAUUUAUGGUAGUAAUUCAACAAGUUUUUUAUAAACAAAAAUAGUUAUAGAUAGUAAGAAGAAAGCGACAGGAUAUCAUGGCAGAGUAAGAAUGUUAAGCACAAAGAUAAUAUGAUUAUUUAUAGUGUAGUAUUUUACAUUUGAUUAGUUUUUCACUAUGUCAGGGGUGUAAAUAAAAUUUUUUUAAGGACAAUUAUAAAUUGAAGAUCACCUAAUUAAAAUUGAUCUAUGAUGUGUAUUUUCAAAAUAGUGUAAGACAUUCUCUUAGGGGUGUAAAGAAAUCUGGUAGGGAGGUUUUAAAAAAGAUUAAGCUGUAUAAAAACUGAGCAGGAAGCGUUUAGGUGAUCUCUUACUCCCAGAUAUGCUGCAAUGUUCAAAUUUUUCUUUAAGAACUAUGUGCUUAAAGUGUAUUCAUGAAUGUAGUAUAAGCUUUAUAGUUGUAUAAAUGUUUUUCUGAAUGAGAAUAGUUAUAGAAAACAAAUUAGAAAGCCAUAGGCCUUUACCUGCUCUGUGCUUAGCGUGAAAAAAUUAAUCUCGAGGUUUAUGUGAAUUUCUUAUUUAGCUUACACCUAAAAAAUAAAAUUUAUUUCUGUAUAAUAACAUUUAUUCCCUUCCAGGUCAGGUAAGUAAUUGAGUCAUUUUAAAAUUAAUUAAAACCUUUUCAUAGAAUGAGUUCAUUUUAUUAAAAUGGCCUUCUUACAUGUAUUUUAAUUAAAUUCUGCCAUUGCAGAGUGAAGUUUGAUAACAAAAAACAACUGCUAGGUGUGAGCAUUCUUUAUGUAUGUAUUGUCCCUGUAUUGUAACUUAUUGUAACUAAACAUAGCAACAAAAAAAAAUGUAUUAUUAAAAUGUUUCUUUUAAGAUGAUUAUUUCUUAUGUUUUUCAUAAGAAAUGUGUACUUUAUAGGGUGCAUUCCUGAAUGUUGCAUAAGGUUUAUAAUAAUAACUAAGGUAUUAUAAUGUUAGAUAAUAGUGAUACAACAAGUUUUUUGUCAAUGAAAUAUUUACAAAAAUAAAAAGAAAGCUACAGGCUGUCAUGUACCUCAUAGGUAGCGUAAAGAAAUUAAUUCCAAGACAUUUAAAUUUUAGACACAUAUUUGGCAGCUAAAUGUAACAAAAUUUUACAAUUAUUGCAUAUCUGUAUAUUUUUCCCUUUCCAA